CUCUCUUCUGCCUUUCUUUCCGUUAAAGAAACCCUUUACAGACCUGAGUCCAGAUUCUGGAAUUUCGUCUGAGUAGGCCUUAAACGAUUGAGGUUUGCAGACAUUGCCGUUGUUACGGGGGUUGCAGAAAUUGCAUUUGGGUUUAUCAUCAUGAAGAAAUUUACAUGUUCAAUAGUGGUUAUCUUUCUGUUCCACCUCUUAGCACCUAUUUGCUCCUUGGUACUCUUGCCAUGCCAGCGUAUGGGCUGCCCUGAACAACUCUAUGCAUACUCCUCUUGCUUGUACAUCACAAACCAACCUGCUGGAAAACAACUGCUCUCAGGAGGUGAGUUACUUGAGCACCAGGGUUUCGCCAAAGGUAACAUUACCUUGAUUCCGUUGUCCCACCCGGGUUUCUGUUUUGGGGACAUUGAGAGCCGAUCCUUCCGGGAGGUCUCAUGUACUAGUUACGAUUCAUUCCGGUUGUCACUUUAUGAGGUCAAGCUGUGGGCUGCAAGGAAGAUAGGCCUGACACAGAAAGAGAGGGAAGAAUUUUUGAGUAGUCUGGAAGGACAUACUUGCUGGGAAGUAUCAGCCCCACAGCAAACAAUCAUCAGGCAAUCUUGAACAGUUUUAAAAUUGUCUUGUUAGCCUACCUUCUGUCUAUGGAUACUGUUAUGAUUUCUCUAGUUUCCUCCUGUCUGAUGUAUAGUUUUCAGGUAAUAAUUUGGUAACCCUUUGCUUAUAAAGAUUUUGUCUU